UCGGGAAUUUUGGGCAAUGGGGGAAACCCUGACCCAGCAACGCCGCGUGAAGGAUGAAGUAUUUCGGUAUGUAAACUUCGAAAGAAUAGGAAGAAUAAAUGACGGUACUAUUUAUAAGGUCCGGCUAACUACGUGCCAGCAGCCGCGGUAAUACGUAGGGACCAAGCGUUGUUCGGAUUUACUGGGCGUAAAGCGUGUGUAGGUUGCCAUUCAAGUCAGUUGUGAAAGCCCCGGGCUCAACCCGGGAAGUGCUUCUGAUACUGUUUGGCAUGAGUACUGGAGAGGAUAGUAGAAUUCCUGGUGUAGUGGUGAAAUACGUAGAUAUCAGGAGGAAUACCGGUGGCGAAGGCGGCUAUCUGGCCAUGUACUGACACUGAGACACGAAAGCGUGGGGAGCAAACAGGAUUAGAUACCCGAGUAGUCCCUGAGCGGGCUGGCAAGGCGCAU
rnacentral:rRNA from 1 species